GGAGAUACAGUUCAGUGGUACAGUGCUUGCCUAGCAUGCAUGAGACCUUGGGUUCAAUUCCCAGUACCACCA
rnacentral:tRNA from 1 species